rnacentral:rRNA from 1 species
AACGAACGCUGGCGGCAUGCCUAACACAUGCAAGUCGAACGAUACCUUCGGGUCUAGUGGCGCACGGGUGCGUAACGCGUGGGAACCUGCCCUUAGGUUCGGAAUAACUCUCCGAAAGGGGUGCUAAUACCGGAUAAUUUCUUCGGACCAAAGAUUUAUCGCCUUUGGAUGGUCCCGCGUUGGAUUUGCUGGUUGGUAGGGUAAAAGCCUACCAAGGCGACGAUCCAUAGCUGGUCUGAGAGGAUGAUCAGCCACACUGGGACUGGGACACGGCCCAGACUCAUACGGGAGGCAGCAAUGGGGAAUAAUGGACGAUGGGCGAAAGCAUGAGCCAGCAAUGCCGCGUGAGUGAUGAAGGCCUUAAGGUUGUAAAGAACUUUUACCCGGGAUGAUAAUGACAGUACCGGGAGAAUAAGCUCCGGCUAACUCCGUG